AUUGAACGCUGGCGGCACGCCUAACACAUGCAAGUCGAGCGGUAACAUGAGUAGUAGCAAUACUACUUGAUGACGAGCGGCGGACGGGUGAGGAACACGUAGGGACCUGCCUUAGAGAGGGGGACAACCAAGGGAAACUUUGGCUAAUACCGCAUAAACUCGAGAGAGAAAAGCUGCCCGCAAGGGUGGCGCUUUAAGAGGGGCCUGCGACCGAUUAGCUAGUUGGUGAGGUAAAGGCUCACCAAGGCGAUGAUCGGUAACUGGUCUGAGAGGACGACCAGUCACACUGGGACUGAGACACGGCCCAGACGCCUACGGGAGGCAGCAGUGGGGAAUCUUGGACAAUGGGGGCAACCCUGAUCCAGCGAUGCCGCGUGGGUGAAGAAGGCCUUCGGGUUGUAAAGCCCUUUAGGCUGGGAAGAAGGUUGGUAGUUUAAGAAAUAACCAACUUGACGGUACCGGCAGAAUAAGCACCGGCAAACUCUGUGCCAGCCGCCGCCGUAA
rnacentral:rRNA from 1 species